AGAGUAUGAAGAGGGGAUGGAAGAGAUUUGGGGGAAGCUCUGCUUCAGCUGUGGGGCCACUGAAGGCAGGACUCGGUGACAAUCUCCACCAUGGCCUGGUCCCCUCUCCUCCUCACCCUCAUCGCUCUCUGCACAGGAUCCCGGGCCCAGUCUGUGACGCAGCCCGCCUCAGUGUCUGGGACCCUGGGCCAGACAGUCACCAUCUCCUGCUCUGGAAGCAGCUCCAACAUCGGGAGUGGUCAUGUGUCCUGGUACCAACAGAUCCCAGGAACAGCCCCCAAACGCCUCAUCUAUUCUUCCGCUAGCAGGGCUUCCAGGGUCCCCGACCGAUUCUCUGGCUCCAGGUCUGGCAACACAGCCACCCUGACCAUCUCUGGGCUCCAGGGUGAGGACGAGGCCGAUUAUUACUGUGGUACAUUGUACAGCAGUUGGAGUAGUGACACAGUGCUGCAGGCCUGUGGGGAAGUGAGACAAAAACCUGCUGUCCCCCCAGUGAUGGGGCUUCUCUGUGCAGCCCCCACUCCUCGGCCGAGGCAGCUGCUUCCUUGGCUUGUUUGGUGAAAAGCAGCUCUGAUAUUUGAUCCCAGGAACUGAG